GAACUGCGAUAAGUAAUGUGAAUUGCAGAAUUCAGUGAAUCAUCGAAUCUUUGAACGCACCUUGCGCUCCUUGGUAUUCCUUGGAGCAUGCCUGUUUGAGUAUCAUGAAAUCUUCAAAGUAAAUCUUUUGUUAACUCAAUUGGUUUCUACUUUGGUAUUGGAGGUCUUUGCAGCUUCACACCUGCUCCUCUUUGUUCAUUAGCUGGAUCUCAGUGUUAUGCUUGGUUCCACUCGGCGUGAUAAGUUAUCUAUCGCUGAGGACACUGUAAAAGGUGGCCAAGGUAAAUGCAGAUGAACCGCUUCUAAUAGUCCAUUGACUUGGACAAUACUUUUAUGAUCUGAUCUAAAAUCAGGUAGGACUACCCGCUGAACUUAAGC
rnacentral:misc_RNA from 1 species